rnacentral:rRNA from 4 species
GACGAACGCUGGCGGCGUGCCUAAUACAUGCAAGUCGAGCGGACAGAAGGGAGCUUGCUCCCGGAUGUUAGCGGCGGACGGGUGAGUAACACGUGGGUAACCUGCCUGUAAGACUGGGAUAACUCCGGGAAACCGGAGCUAAUACCGGAUAGUUCCUUGAACCGCAUGGUUCAAGGAUGAAAGACGGUUUCGGCUGUCACUUACAGAUGGACCCGCGGCGCAUUAGCUAGUUGGUGAGGUAACGGCUCACCAAGGCGACGAUGCGUAGCCGACCUGAGAGGGUGAUCGGCCACACUGGGACUGAGACACGGCCCAGACUCCUACGGGAGGCAGCAGUAGGGAAUCUUCCGCAAUGGACGAAAGUCUGACGGAGCAACGCCGCGUGAGUGAUGAAGGUUUUCGGAUCGUAAAGCUCUGUUGUUAGGGAAGAACAAGUGCAAGAGUAACUGCUUGCACCUUGACGGUACCUAACCAGAAAGCCACGGCUAACUACGUGCCAGCAGCCGCGGUAAUACGUAGGUGGCAAGCGUUGUCCGGAAUUAUUGGGCGUAAAGGGCUCGCAGGCGGUUUCUUAAGUCUGAUGUGAAAGCCCCCGGCUCAACCGGGGAGGGUCAUUGGAAACUGGGAAACUUGAGUGCAGAAGAGGAGAGUGGAAUUCCACGUGUAGCGGUGAAAUGCGUAGAGAUGUGGAGGAACACCAGUGGCGAAGGCGACUCUCUGGUCUGUAACUGACGCUGAGGAGCGAAAGCGUGGGGAGCGAACAGGAUUAGAUACCCUGGUAGUCCACGCCGUAAACGAUGAGUGCUAAGUGUUAGGGGGUUUCCGCCCCUUAGUGCUGCAGCUAACGCAUUAAGCA